rnacentral:rRNA from 1 species
AGAAGAUCGGGAAAAGAUAAGGAUAAAGAAUGUCAUAUAUCUCAGGAGCUAGAUCACUUCCAGACGAACAAGUUAGAAUUGCCACAACAAAAAUGGAUGGAUUUGGACCGAAAAAAUCAUUCAGCUUCGUUAUCGAUUAGGUAUCAGUGGGAACAUUAAGACGAAUGA